rnacentral:rRNA from 1 species
AUUGAACGCUGGCGGCAUGCUUUACACAUGCAAGUCGAACGGCAGCGCGGGGCAACCUGGCGGCGAGUGGCGAACGGGUGAGUAAUAUAUCGGAACGUACCCAGAAGUGGGGGAUAACGUAGCGAAAGUUACGCUAAUACCGCAUACGAUCUACGGAUGAAAGUGGGGGGCCUUCGGGCCUCAUGCUUUUGGAGCGGCCGAUAUCUGAUUAGCUAGUUGGUGAGGUAAAGGCUCACCAAGGCGACGAUCAGUAGCUGGUCUGAGAGGACGACCAGCCACACUGGGACUGAGACACGGCCCAGACUCCUACGGGAGGCAGCAGUGGGGAAUUUGGACAAUGGGGGGCAACCCUGAUCCAGCAAUGCCGCGUGAGUGAAGAAGGCCUCGGUUGUAAGA